AACGAACGCUGGCGGCAGGCCUAACACAUGCAAGUCGAGCGAGGACUUCGGUCCUAGCGGCGGACGGGUGAGUAACGCGUGGGAACGUGCCCUUUGCUACGGAAUAGCCCUGGGAAACUGGGAGUAAUACCGUAUGUGCCCUUUGGGGGAAAGAUUUAUCGGCAAAGGAUCGGCCCGCGUUGGACUAGGUAGUUGGUGGGGUAAUGGCCUACCAAGCCGACGAUCCAUAGCUGGUUUGAGAGGAUGAUCAGCCACACUGGGACUGAGACACGGCCCAGACUCCUACGGGAGGCAGCAGUGGGGAAUCUUAGACAAUGGGCGCAAGCCUGAUCUAGCCAUGCCGCGUGAGCGAUGAAGGCCUUAGGGUUGUAAAGCUCUUUCAGUGGGGAAGAUAAUGACGGUACCCACAGAAGAAGCCCCGGCUAACUCCGUGCCAGCCGCCGCGGUAACAC
rnacentral:rRNA from 1 species